GAUGAACGCUGGCGGCGUGCCUAAUACAUGCAAGUCGAGCGAACAGACGAGGAGCUUGCUCCUCUGACGUUAGCGGCGGACGGGUGAGUAACACGUGGAUAACCUAUCUAUAAGACUGGGAUAACUUCGGGAAACCGGAGCUAAUACCGGAUAAUAUAUUGAACCGCAUGGUUCAAUAGUGAAAGACGGUUUUGCUGUCACUUAUAGAUGGAUCCGCGCCGCAUUAGCUAGUUGGUAAGGUAACGGCUUACCAAGGCAACGAUGCGUAGCCGACCUGAGCGGGUGAUCGGCCACACUGGAACUGAGACACGGUCCAGACUCCUACGGGAGGCAGCAGUAGGGAAUCUUCCGCAAUGGGCGAAAGCCUGACGGAGCAACGCCGCGUGAGUGAUGAAGGUCUUCGGAUCGUAAAACUCUGUUAUUAGGGAAGAACAAAUGUGUAAGUAACUAUGCACGUCUUGACGGUACCUAAUCAGAAAGCCACGGCUAACUACGUG
rnacentral:rRNA from 1 species